rnacentral:rRNA from 1 species
GACGAACGCUGGCGGCGUGCCUAAUACAUGCAAGUCGAGCGGACGUUUUUGAAGCUUGCUUCAAAAACGUUAGCGGCGGACGGGUGAGUAACACGUGGGCAACCUACCUUAUCGACUGGGAUAACUCCGGGAAACCGGGGCUAAUACCGGAUAAUAUCUAGCACCUCCUGGUGCCGGUUUAAAAGAGGGCUUCUUGCUCUCACGAAGAGAUGGGCCCGCGGCGCAUUAGCUAGUUGGAGAGGUAACAGCUCCCCAAGGCAACGAUGCGUAGCCGACCUGAGAGGGUGAUCGGCCACACUGGGACUGAGACACGGCCCAGACUCCUACGGGAGGCAGCAGUAGGGAAUCUUCCGCAAUGGACGAAAGUCUGACGGAGCAACGCCGCGUGAGUGAUGAAGGGUUUCGGCUCGUAAAGCUCUGUUAUGAGGGAAGAACACGUACCGUUCGAAUAGGGCGGUACCUUGACGGUACCUCAUCAGAAAGCCACGGCUAACUACGUGCCAGCAGCCGCAGUAA